rnacentral:rRNA from 1 species
AGAGUUUGAUCAUGGCUCAGAUUGAACGCUGGCGGCAUGCCUUACACAUGCAAGUCGAACGGCAGCGCGGGGGUAACCCUGGCGGCGAGUGGCGAACGGGUGAGUAAUACAUCGGAACGUGUCCUGGAGUGGGGGAUAGCUCGGCGAAAGCCGGAUUAAUACCGCAUACGCUCUGUGGAGGAAAGCGGGGGAUCUUCGGACCUCGCGCUCAAGGGGCGGCCGAUGGCGGAUUAGCUAGUUGGUGGGGUAAAGGCCUACCAAGGCGACGAUCCGUAGCUGGUCUGAGAGGACGACCAGCCACACUGGGACUGAGACACGGCCCAGACUCCUACGGGAGGCAGCAGUGGGGAAUUUUGGACAAUGGGGGAAACCCUGAUCCAGCAAUGCCGCGUGUGUGAAGAAGGCCUUCGGGUUGUAAAGCACUUUUGUUCGGGAAGAAAUCCUUCGGGCUAAUACCUUGAGGGGAUGACGGUACCGGAAGAAUAAGCACCGGCUAACUACGUGCCAGCAGCCGCGGUAAUACGUAGGGUGCGAGCGUUAAUCGGAAUUACUGGGCGUAAAGCGUGCGCAGGCGGUCCGCUAAGACCGAUGUGAAAUCCCCGGGCUUAACCUGGGAACUGCAUUGGUGACUGGCGGGCUAGAGUAUGGCAGAGGGGGGUAGAAUUCCACGUAGCAGUGAAAUGCGUAGAGAUGUGGAGGAAUACCGAUGGCGAAGGCAGCCCCCUGGGCCAAUACUGACGCUCAUGCACGAAAGCGUGGGGAGCAAACAGGAUUAGAUACCCUUGUAGUCC